AAUUGUCCAAACUUAUCGAAUACGUGCGUGUAUGUGUUCUUGAAUUAGUAUUAUUGUUAACCGAGAGAAACAAAUAAAAUAAAGGAGAUCGUGCUAACACUUCGAAAAGCAGCAGCGAGACACUUAGAACGAUGACGCAGUGCACAUUGCCGGCCAUCGAGUGAUUCCACUACGUGUCUGUGCUAUGCCCCCUCUACUCAACUACACAACGUGCAAUAUUACCCCCACCAUUGCCAUAUUCACGUGCGGUUAUCCCUUCCUUCAACGAUUCCCCCACCAUCUUGAGACAAUGAGAAACGAUGGACACCACUGCGUUAACCAGAGUACGUAAAUCUCGAAUUCUUCCGCUUCCCAAUUCCCACAUUAAGACUAUGAUGCUGAUGCAAAAAAUGUCUCCCUACCAUCCCUACUAUCUUCACUGUCCUGGUAAACGAGUGGUGGUAAAAGAGACAGAAAGAAGAUGCGUUGUAAAAAGCUAUCUUACCGCCCCUCGACCUAUGCAGCCCCUAGAAGGAACGUACGACCUCUUUACUUCACCAUUGGUCCGCACACAGUCAACAUUUUUGCAAGUUAUCUCUUACAAUCCCUCGAAUUAUCCGUAAAAUUCGACUAAAUUUUUGCUAAUUUAUUUGACGAGAAAAAGGGGGGAAAUUCUGAAGGAAUAGUGGUUCCGCAUAGAGGUAAAAAUUAAUGGAUUCAUACUUUUUAUUACUUUUUCGUUUUGCUUAAUUAGUAAUGCGAAUUAAGAAUAUAAUAGAAUAAAGUUAACAUUCUGCAAUUAGUUAGAUAAUAUAACAUACACAAGAAAUGAUAUUAAUAAAUAAAAAUAAGCGAUAAAGGAUAAAAUUAAUUGGGAAAAUGAAUUAUAUUUACAAUUAAUUUUCCCAUUAAUAUCAGAUCUUGAUAUCAUAUUCCUAGAUAACUAAAAGUGCUCUACUUUAUCACUACUAAAAAUAGGACAAAAAAUGAAGAAAUAGAAAAAGCAUCAAAAUAUAUCAAUUACGUAUACAAUUUAUUUUCUUAUCAUUACCAUUUCUCACG
rnacentral:misc_RNA from 1 species